UUGAGACCAGGGCUCGGAGCCCACCCUGGCCCUCACUAGCACGUGGUCCUCGGAAGAUGCCCAAGGCCCACGGCCUCAGUUCUUCAUCUGGGAGGCGAGCAGUUUGCCAGGGUAGAUUUUGGGAACAGAGACAGCAGCCUACACUUCACCACCAUCUUGAGAGCUACAGAUCAAACUCCAUCCAGUGACUGCUCGACAUCAUGGCCCCAAACCCAGGAAAGCAUGAAGUCUUGAUGAGGAGCUGAAAACACCAGCUGAGCAUCCUCACUGUGUAUUAUGGACUCUCUAACCUGUGGUCAUGUGCACCAUUCAUUUGCAUCGGAAUUUUGGUCUUAGGCCUAUUUUUGUGCUUAGGUAUCUAUCACCUUACUGUCUUGACCUCUCUGUUGCUAGAAGGGUGGAUUUGCUAACCAAACACAGUCUCAGGUCCUUUUGACUUAAGCAAAAGUGAACAGAAUUAUAACUGCUCGUUUCAUACACUCCCUUUUGGAUAAUAGUGACAGGAAGGCUAGGCCUGGAACUUGCACUGUGCAACACUUGUUUCCUGUGUGCUGACAUCUGACACACACACUAUAAGGGAAGGGCCAGAACGUUUAUCCCGUUAGAAGAGGCAGGUCUCUGUGUCUUGAGUGUGCCAGAGGGUAUUUCAGGAAAGGA
ensembl:lncRNA